rnacentral:misc_RNA from 1 species
CGGGGGGCGGGUCGGUACCAGCUGAGCGGCCGCAGGGCCGGUGGCGGUCUCAGUCGCCCGCCGGUCGCCGUCAGAACGACAGCGAACCCCAGCCACCUCGGACACCAUGGCCCGACCUCAGCUGCGCUCCAAGCCGGCGGCGCAGGGCACGCCGCUGCAGCCGGUCCGGUGGCGGCCCCGGGAGCCGCUGCCGCUGCCCCGUCGGCUCCGACUGCCUGGCUCGUCGGUACUCGGCGUCUGCCGGAUGGUCGACAGCCUGGCUACGGGCUUCUGCUAGAGAGGAGGCAGUCUCGCCACAUGCUCCUGCUAGAUGACUGUAGUCUCACCAAGUCUUCUAGACGGUGCCAGCCGUCACCGGCGUCUACUAGAGGACUAGUCUAUCAAAAGUCUGCUAGACGGCGGCAGUAUCGUCAGAGUUUCUCGUAGCGCCUGUCUCAGCCGCCUUCGGUGAGAGGGUGACAGUCAGGCUGCCCGGGGGAUGCUGUGGUGUGGGCGACGGCCGAAAAAUGACGGCGUUUCUUCAAGACUCCUCGUCAGGUUAAUCAGUGUGAACAGGGUCUGUCAUGUAAGGUAAUGAACGGAGGACGAAAUCCGGAACCGAAUUCAACCAGCCGCUCCAAGAUUGUUUACGACUCUGGCACUCAAACAGCCAUCCGCAAUGUUUGCUAUCAUUUAAAAUAUGGCCCACUCUGCUUUUACUUUACGGAGACAUGGAUACGGGCCGCUGUAUUAUCGCUAUAACAUCGGUGCCCCCUAACCAUUCCUAUCUGACCUGGCCGGAUCCAUCAAUUUGUGCUAACUUUAUCCUUAAGAGGUCACGAGGGCUUGUGUUCUGAGGUGAGGACGUCCAGAGGUUCGGCGAUGGAACCGGCCACGGCAACUGCCGACGAUCUUUAGUGGCUACGGAGUCUAGCAGGUAUGAGAAAUCACACAUAUGAUGAAUGAUAAACAGGGUGCUGAUAUAUAUUGAACGAAUUAUCAUGCCGGUGAGGUGAUUCUCCAGCAAUAGCAACUGAUUCAGGUGUGCCAGUGCCAUUACGUUUGUGGUGAAUGUAAUUAUACAUGAGCGGUGUAUGUUGUGUGCACUAAUCACUAGUCAGAAGUACCUAGUGACAAUACGAUACUAUACGAAUGUGCGUCAACCCACGCGGUCGAUGCCUACUCAUGCCGUUUAUGGUGGUUAUCAUUGGCAUGUGUCACUUAACAUUAAAGUUAAGUGGUUUAUGUAUCGAAGGUAAUACACAAUGUCAUAAGCACAGUUUACAGAUGUGUGCCGAAAUCUAUAUCAACUUGCUUUCAUGUUCUGGUGCAUUGCAAACAGUUGUGUUAUCGUACUUAAGAAUUAUUGCCCACUUGUGAUGUAAUUCAUCCUGUUUUCAUGAACCAUACGCUCAGUAUGUAUGAUUGUGACGUAAACCCACUUCGUUUUCACAUGCGAGUAGGUUUGCGACGUAGUUUUGACUUGUUCACAUCCUUUUGUGUUAUGUUCCGUCACUUGAAACACCUUUAAUGUCAAUACACAUUUCAUGACUAA